rnacentral:rRNA from 1 species
AAAGUGGAGCAAUCCAUGAGUAAAGUGGCGCACGGGUGAGUAACACGUGACUAACCUACCCUGGAGUGGGGGAUAACUGAGGGAAACCUUAGCUAAUACCGCAUAAUACCUACGGGUCAAAGGAGCAAUUCGCUUCAGGAGGGGGUCGCGGCCGAUUAGUUAGUUGGCGGGGUAAUGGCCCACCAAGACAGUGAUCGGUAUCCGGCCUGAGAGGGCGCACGGACACACUGGAACUGAAACACGGUCCAGACUCCUACGGGAGGCAGCAGUGGGGAAUUUUGCGCAAUGGGGGAAACCCUGACGCAGCAACGCCGCGUGGAGGAUGAAGUCCUUCGGGACGUAAACUCCUUUCGAUCGGGACGAUUAUGACGGUACCGGAAGAAGAAGCCCCGGCUAACUUCGUGCCAGCAGCCGCGGUAAUACGAGGGGGGCGAGCGUUGUUCGGAAUUAUUGGGCGUAAAGGGUGCGUAGGCGGUUUUGUAAGUCUUAUGUGAAAUCUAUGGGCUCAACUCAUAGACUGCAUGAGAAACUGCAGGGCUUGAGUAUGGGAGAGGUGAGUGGAAUUCCUGGUGUAGCGGUGAAAUGCGUAGAUAUCAGGAGGAACACCUGUGGCGAAAGCGGCUCACUGGACCAUAACUGACGCUGAUGCACGAAAGCUAGGGGAGCAAACAGGAUUAGAUACCCUGGUAGUCCUAGCCCUAAACGAUGACUGCUUGGUGUGACGGGUACCCAAUCCCGCCGUGCCGUAGCUAACGCGUUAAGCAGUCCGCCUGGGGAGUACGGUCGCAAGGCUGAAACUCAAAGGAAUUGAC